UGUGGUUAAAAAGCUCGUAGUUGGAUCUCGGCGGACUGAGGGCGGUUUGCUUGCUAGUAUUACUGCCCUAUAGUCCGUAGUUUUGCCAGAGGUUUCGGGGUGCUCUCAAUCGAGUGUCCCGGGAUGCUGGCAGGUUUACUUUGAAAAAAUUAGAGUGCUCAAAGCAGGCUAUUACGCCUGAAUAUUCGUGCAUGGAAUAAUAGAAUAGGAAGUCGUUUCUAUUUUGUUGGUUUUCGGAAAUCGACUUAAUGAUUAAUAGGGACAGUCGGGGGCAUUUGUAUUCAAACGACAGAGGUGAAAUUCUUGGACCGUUUGAAGACAAACUACUGCGAAAGCAUUUGCCAAGAAUGUUUUCAUUAAUCAAGAACGAAAGUUAAAGGUUCGAAGGCGAUUAGAUACCGCCCUAGUUUUAACCAUAAACGAUGCCAGCUAGCGAUCUGCGGACGUUUUUUUUGUAGACUCCGCAGGAAGCUUCCGGGAAACCAAAGCAUUUGGGUUCCAGGGGAAAGUAUGGUUGCAAAGCUGAAACUUAAAGGAAUUGACGGAAGGGCACC
rnacentral:rRNA from 1 species